rnacentral:rRNA from 1 species
AGUGAACGCUGGCGGCAGGCCUAACACAUGCAAGUCGAACGGCAGCACAGUAAGAGCUUGCUCUUACGGGUGGCGAGUGGCGGACGGGUGAGGUAUACAUCGGAAUCUACUUUUUCGUGGGGGAUAACGUAGGGAAACUUACGCCCAUACAGCAUCUGCCCCACGGGUGAAAGCAGGGGAUAUUCGGACCUUGCGCGAUUGAAUGAGCCGCUGUUGGAUUAGCUAGUUGGCGGGGUAAAGGCCCACCAGGGCGACGAUCGGUAGCUGGGCGGAGAGGGGGGUGAGCCACACUGGAGGUGAGACACGGUACUGGCACCGAGGUGAGGCAGCAGGGGGGAAUGUUGGAAGAAGGGCGCAAGCCUGAUCCAGCCAUACCGCGUGGGUGAAGAAGGCCUGCGGGUGGUAAAGCCCUUUUGGUGGGAAAGAAAGGCAGCAGGUUAAUACCCCGCUGUGCUGACGGUACCCAAAGAAUAGGCACCGGCUAACUUCGG